rnacentral:rRNA from 1 species
UGCCAGCAGCCGCGGUAAGACGGAGGUGGCAAACGCUGUUCGGAAUUAUUGGGCGUAAAGGGCGCGUAGGCGGCCUUGUCGGUCAGAUGUGAAAGCCCGGGGCUCAACCCUGGAAGUGCAUUUGAAACAGCAAGGCUUGAGUACUGGAGAGGAGAGCGGAAUUCCUGGUGUAGAGGUGAAAUUCGUAGAUAUCAGGAGGAACACCGAUGGCGAAGGCAUCUCUCUGGGCCGAUAUUGACGCUGAGGCGCGAAGGCGUGGGUAGCGAACGGGAUUAGAUA